UGCGUAGGUGGAUUUACAAGCCCUGGGUGAAAGGCUACGGCUUAACCGUAGUAAGCCUUGGGAACUGUAAGUCUUGAGUGCAGGAGAGGAAAGCGGAAUUCCUAGUGUAGCGGUGAAAUGCGUAGAUAUUAGGAGGAACACCAGUGGCGAAGGCGGCUUUCUGGACUGUAACUGACACUGAGGCACGAAAGCGUGGGGAGCAAACA
rnacentral:rRNA from 1 species